rnacentral:rRNA from 1 species
UGCCAGCANHMGCGGUCAUACGAUUAUUUUAGAUUUAAUACAUAGGUAGGUGGUAAAAAAGAAGAAAGGGAAUAUAAAAGCAAAUAUGACAAAUCGAAUAGUAAAACUAUAAAUUGCUAGAUACCAUAAACCCACUAAAAUUUUAACCCACGAAAAUCAAGCAUAGAACUAGGAUUAGAUACCCUACUACUAAUGAUCAUAAAUUAACAAUACCAAGCAAUUACAAGAAAAUCUUCAAAACUAAAAAGCAUGGCGGCCUUCUAUAAACCCAGGGGAGCUUGUCCGCUAAGCGAUAACCCCCGUUAAACCCUCCCUCUUCUAGACUAGACAGUUUGUAUACCUCCGUCAUAAGUUAACCUCGCUAAGAGAAAUAAAGUUAACGAAGAACCGACUAAACUCGGGCGAAGACAGGUCAAGGUGCAACCUAUCAAGAGGACCUUAAGAUGAGCUACAUUAAUAUAAAAAUUAUAAAUAGAGGACUUCCAAAGAAGUCAGGAAAGAAGUACUUGAAAGUAAAAACAUCUUAAAAAGAAGUUUUGAAUAUAUAAAUAGAAGGUGCACAAAUCGCCCGUCAAUCCCAUAUAAUAUAAAAAUAGGGAWAAGUCGUAACAHAGUA